rnacentral:misc_RNA from 1 species
AACCAUAGAAACCUGCGGAGUACCUGCGGAAGGAUCAUUACAGAGUUCGUGCCCUCGCGGGUAGAUCUCCCACCCUUGUGUAUUUUCUACAUCUUGUUGCUUUGGCAGGCCGUUGGUUCGCCAACCACCGGCUCGCGGGCUGGUGCGUGCCUGCCAGAGGACCUCUCAAACUCGGUUUGUUAGUGUCGUCUGAGUACCAUAACAAUCGUUAAAACUUUCAACAACGGAUCUCAGAUCGGA